AGUGGCGGACGGGUGAGUAACACGUAGGAAUCUGCCCAGUAGUGGGGGACAACCCGGGGAAACCCGGGCUAAUACCGCAUACGCCCUACGGGGGAAAGCGGGGGAUCUUCGGACCUCGCGCUAUUGGAUGAGCCUACGUCCGAUUAGCUUGUUGGUGAGGUAACGGCUCACCAAGGCGACGAUCGGUAGCUGGUCUGAGAGGACGAUCAGCCACACUGGGACUGAGACACGGCCCAGACUCCUACGGGAGGCAGCAGUGGGGAAUAUUGGACAAUGGGCGAAAGCCUGAUCCAGCAAUGCCGCGUGUGUGAAGAAGGCCCUAGGGUUGUAAAGCACUUUCAGUGGGGAAGAAACGCAGGGUGUUAAUACCACCCUGUAAUGACGUUACCCACAGAAGAAGCACCGGCUAACUCCGUGCCAGCAGCCGCGGUAAUACGGAGGGUGCAAGCG
rnacentral:rRNA from 1 species